rnacentral:rRNA from 1 species
AUACGGAGGGUCCAAGCGUUAUCCGGAAUCAUUGGGUUUAAAGGGUCCGCAGGCGGUCAAUUAAGUCAGAGGUGAAAGCCCAUCGCUCAACGAUGGAACUGCCUUUGAUACUGGUUGACUUGAGUUAUACGGAAGUAGAUAGAAUAAGUAGUGUAGCGGUGAAAUGCAUAGAUAUUACUUAGAAUACCGAUUGCGAAGGCAGUCUACUACGUAUAUACUGACGCUGAGGGACGAAAGCGUGGGUAGCAAACAGGAUUAGAUACCCUAGUAGUCC